AUGAUACAAGGGGAGGAAAGGAUCCGUAUGUACAAGGACAACACAGACGAGCUUCUGUCGGUGGCCAACAAGCAGGACACCACGAGCAGAAGCGCCGCUCACACUAGUGUACAUAUGCCACAUCAAAUACCGUCAAAAAUCCUACUACAAGAAGAUGAAAGAAAAAGGAGGAAGCACAAGGGCAAAGAAGAUCAACACGCGCGCGCUCAUACGUACUACUGUACUAGCUCAGCUGCACAACGGCUCGUACCGGGGAGCAGACGGAGGCAGAGCAACCUGGAUGGAUGGAUCGCCGGCUCAUCACCAGCCGUAGACGGCGCGGGAGCACUUGACCUUGAUCCACUUGACGCUGCGCCGCACCGACCCCUUCACCUUGCCCUCCACGUCGUACACCUUGUAGGCCACCAGCCGCUUCUUCCUCUGCAGCUCCGCGUCCGCGUCAUCCGUCUUGGCCGGGGCCGGGGCCGGGGCCUCGUUGUCGACCAAUGCGGAGAAGGACGGGGUGUAGCUCCUCAGGUUGAGGGAGCGGCGGCCGGCGGAGGACCAGGUGGCUGCGGUGGUGGUGGCGGCGUUGGGCCCCUUGGCCUGGGCGGCGCCGUCGGAGAAAGGCUUGUAGGAGGCGGCGUAGGAGGCGCUGUAGCACCGGAGGUUCAGCCCCGGGGUGGGGCCGGGGCCGGCGCCGGAGACGGUCCUCGUGCUGCCGCUCCGCUGCACGGCGGUCGCCGCCGCGGGGCGCGACAGGGAGGUGGUGCUCCUGGCGCGCUGCACCUUGGUGGGCGCGUAGGAGACGGCGUAGGAGGCGCUGUGGCAGCGGAGGUCGUUGGCCGGCGCGGCGGCGGCGGCGGUGCUCCUCUCGGCCAGCGACACCGACCUCUCCAUUGGCAUCUUGUUGCGCGGGUGUGGUCACUCUCUUGUCCGCGGAGCUCUGGCGUGAGGAACUGA
rnacentral:rRNA from 1 species